ACUCCUACGGGAGGCAGCAGUAGGGAAUCUUCCACAAUGGACGAAAGCCUGAUGGAGCAACGCCGCGUGAGUGAAGAAGGGUUUCGGCUCGUAAAACUCUGUUGUUAAAGAAGAACAUAUCUGAGAGUAACUGUUCAGGUAUUGACGGUAUUUAACCAGAAAGCCACGGCUAACUACGUGCCAGCAGCCGCGGUAAUACGUAGGUGGCAAGCGUUGUCCGGAUUUAUUGGGCGUAAAGCGAGCGCAGGCGGUUUUUAAGUCUGAUGUGAAAGCCUUCGGCUCAACCGAAGAAGUGCAUCGGAAACUGGGAAACUUGAGUGCAGAAGAGGACAGUGGAACUCCAUGUGUAGCGGUGAAAUGCGUAGAUAUAUGGAAGAACACCAGUGGCGAAGGCGGCUGUCUGGUCUGUAACUGACGCUGAGGCUCGAAAGUAUGGGUAGCAAACAGGAUUAGAUACCCUGGUAGGAUAGCG
rnacentral:rRNA from 1 species